rnacentral:misc_RNA from 1 species
GAUGAAGAACGCAGCGAACUGGGAUAAGUAAUGUGAAUUGCAGAAUUCAGUGAAUCAUCGAGUCUUUGAACGCACAUUGCGCCCCCUGGCAUUCCGGGGGGCAUGCCUGUCCGAGCGUCAUUGCUGCCCUUCAAGCCCGGCUUGUGUGUUGGGUCGUCGUCCCCCCCGGGGGACGGGCCCGAAAGGCAGCGGCGGCACCGCGUCCGGUCCUCGAGCGUAUGGGGCUUUGUCACCCGCUCGAUUAGGGCCGGCCGGGCGCCAGCCGGCGUCUCCAACCUUCUAUUUUACCAGGUUGACCUCGGAUCAGGCAGGGAUACCCGCUGAACUUAAGCAUAUCAAUAAGCGGAGGA